rnacentral:rRNA from 1 species
CGAGGACGAACGCUGGCGGCGUGCCUAACACAUGCAAGUCGAACGGGGAUUUGUUUCGGCAGAAUCCUAGUGGCGAACGGGUGAGUAACGCGUAGGCAACCUGCCCUCCGGCCGGGGACAACACUCCGAAAGGGGUGCUAAUACCGGAUACGAAAUCUGUGCCGCAUGGUACGGAUUUGAAAGAUGGCCUCUGUUUAUAAGCUAUCGCCGGGGGAUGGGCCUGCGUCCGAUUAGCUGGUUGGUGGGGUAACGGCCUACCAAGGCGACGAUCGGUAGCCGGUCUGAGAGGAUGAACGGCCACAUUGGGACUGAGACACGGCCCAGACUCCUACGGGAGGCAGCAGUGGGGAAUCUUCCGCAAUGGGCGCAAGCCUGACGGAGCAACGCCGCGUGAGUGAGGAAGUUCUUCGGAACGUAAAGCUCUGUUGUUCCUGACGAACCUCCCUUCUAUCAACAACGGAGGGGACUGACGGUAGGGAACGAGGAAGCCACGGCUAACUACGUGCCAGCCGCAGC